rnacentral:rRNA from 1 species
CUUGAUUCUCAAUAUAGGCGUGAAACACCCGAACCCAUUCCGAACUCGAAUUGUGAACCCGCCUAUAGCCAAGUUGUACUGUUUGACACGGGAGAAAUGGUCGGAGUCAAGA